rnacentral:tRNA from 1 species
GCCCGCCUAGCUCAAUCGGAUAGAGCGUCAGACUCUUACCUAGGCUGGUGUAAUCUGAAGGCUGCGAGUUCGACCCUCGCGGUGGGCU